rnacentral:rRNA from 1 species
UACAUCUGGCCGCAGCAUGCCGCGUGCAGUGAUGACUGCCCUCUGGUUUGUAAACUGCUUUUAUAUGGGAAGAAAUGUGCCUACCUGUGAAUAUUUCCCGGGCCUGUACCAAUAAGGAUCGCCUAACUCCGUGCCAGCAGCCACGGUAAUACGGAGGAUCCGAGCGUUAUCCGGAUUCAUUGGGUUUAAAGGGUCCGUAGGGGGAUUUUUGGGUCCAAGCUGAAAUCCGCCUCCUAAACUGUAAAACUGCCUUUGAUACGGGGGGACUGGAAUUCCUAUGGGGUAGGUGAAAUUCGUGUUGAACCGGUGAAAUGCCAAUAUCUAACACGAAACACCGUUUGCAAAGGCACUUUACUGAGCAUAACUGGACCCUGAGGAACGGAACCGAGGGAAGGGAACAGGAUUAGAUACCCGGGUAUUCCACGCCGUAAACAAUAAUACUUCUCUGUUGCAAAAAUAUGGUAUGGUCCAAUCCGAAAGGUUAAGUAAUUCCCCUGGGGAAUACGCUCGCCAAUGGAAAAAUUCAAAGAAAUGGACGGU